UGCAUGGACAUGUUUCUUUUCCACUGUAGC
rnacentral:piRNA from 1 species